rnacentral:rRNA from 1 species
AUGAACGCUGGCGGCGUGCUUAACACAUGCAAGUCGAACGGUGAAGGCGGAGCUUGCCCUGCUGGAUCAGUGGCGAACGGGUGAGUAACACGUGAGCAAUCUGCCCCUGACUCUGGGAUAAGCGCUGGAAACGGCGUCUAAUACUGGAUACGAGCUGCGAAGGCAUCUUCAGCAGCUGGAAAGAACUUCGGUCAGGGAUGAGCUCGCGGCCUAUCAGCUUGUUGGUGAGGUAACGGCUCACCAAGGCGUCGACGGGUAGCCGGCCUGAGAGGGUGACCGGCCACACUGGGACUGAGACACGGCCCAGACUCCUACGGGAGGCAGCAGUGGGGAAUAUUGCACAAUGGGCGAAAGCCUGAUGCAGCAACGCCGCGUGAGGGACGACGGCCUUCGGGUUGUAAACCUCUUUUAGCAGGGAAGAAGCGAAAGUGACGGUACCUGCAGAAAAAGCGCCGGCUAACUACGUG